GACGAACGCUGGCGGCGUGCUUAACACAUGCAAGUCGAACGGAAAGGCCCUGCUUUUGUGGGGUGCUCGAGUGGCGAACGGGUGAGUAACACGUGAGUAACCUGCCCUUGACUUUGGGAUAACUUCAGGAAACUGGGGCUAAUACCGGAUAGGAGCUCCUGCUGCAUGGUGGGGGUUGGAAAGUUUCGGCGGGUGGGGAUGGACUCGCGGCUUAUCAGCUUGUUGGUGGGGUAGUGGCUUACCAAGGCUUUGACGGGUAGCCGGCCUGAGAGGGUGACCGGCCACAUUGGGACUGAGAUACGGACCAGACUCCUACGGGAGGCAGCAGUGGGGAAUAUUGCACAAUGGGCGGAAGCCUGAUGCAGCAACGCCGCGUGCGGGAUGGCGGCCUUCGGGUUGUAAACCGCUUUCGCCUGUGACGAAGCGUGAGUGACGGUAAUGGGUAAAGAAGCACCGGCUAACUACGUG
rnacentral:rRNA from 1 species